AAAGAGGAGACAGAGGGCGACAUCAUCCAGUAGGCGGUGCUCUCCUUCUGCACUGUGUUCAACCAUUGUGUCAAUAAUAAGUGCUGCUGUGAAGAGAACAAUUCUCAGACUGAAUGUUGAACAUCAGCUAGUUUCUCCUGUUGAUUUAAACCUUGUUGUACAGAUGGAACAUUGGCUGUGGAUUAUUCUUGCUGCUCUUUUCUUUGAGUGUAAAGGAGAAGACAAAGUGAUCCAGGAACAAGGAGAUGUCAUUGCUGCUGAAGGAGACACAUUUACACUUUACUGCAACUAUGAAACAACUUCUACAUUUCCAUAUUUGUUCUGGUACAAACAGGACGUGAACGACUAUCCGAAAUAUGUUUUACGGCGAGAUGCUUCUGGAACAGAAAACGCUCAAGAGUUCCCAAAACACAGAUUUGACGCUGAACUCAACAAGACAUCAGUUUCUCUGAAGAUCCAGAAGCUUCAGCUGUCUGACUCUGCUGUGUACUACUGUGCUGUGAAGCCCACAGUGACAGGAAACACCAAAACUCUGUGCAAAAACCUUUGGAGCAAAGACGACAGAAUACUCCACAACAUCCACUAGAGGGAGCCACACACUGUUAAACCUCUGAUUCUUGUGUCAUUGGACUGAUGACAAAGACAACAGAGAAAUGAAGCAGUAAAGAUCAGAGACAGAGACAGAGCUGCUGUGGAAGCACAAAACUAUUUGAUUGGCUCAGCCAUUAAACUGGCCCCGCCCAUUGAACCUGAGCUGAUCCAAUGACAUUAUUUGUUGGUCAUUGUGCUGCAGUGGAAGAACAUUGUUCAUGUGCUGUCUGUCUGGCUUUAAUAACUCCAAAGACAUGUUGCUGCACCUCUUUUUGCUUCUAUCUCACAUUAUAGGACUAACAGCUGGAGACUCAAUCACUCCUCAACAAACUGAAGUCACUAAAACAGAAGGAGAAUCUGUCACACUCACAUGUAGCUAUGAGACAACCUCGAGUGUUGCUUAUCUUUACUGGUACAGACAUCAUUCUGACCUCCAAGCUCCUCAGUUUAUACUCUGGAAAAUUGGAAAAGGAUACCCAGAGGAAUAUAUUCCUGAUAAUCGAUAUGAAUCAGAAACAUCACCAACAACAACUGAUCUGACCAUAACAGCCCUAACCCUGGCAGACACAGCUCUCUACUACUGUGCUCUACAAACACAGUGAUACAAAGUGUAGAAGAGGCUGUACAAAAACCUGAACACAGAUAUCUGACUACUCUUCAAAGAGGAGGGAAGUGGUAUUCAAAGCACAGCUUCAUAUCAGAUGGAUUCUGCUAAUUCCUGUUUUAUCAGAGUCACUGUGGUUACAGCUGCUAAUGAAACACUGUGGGAGGAUUCACAUGAGCAGCAAAUCCACAUCAACCACAAACCAACUGUAGAAACGUUCAGACAGAAACAAAUUAGUGAAUACAGUCAAACAGCAAAAGCUUCUGAUAAACAAAUAUUUCCCAUUUAGCAUAUUUUAUAACUGACCAUCAAAGUAAAACAGGAAACAGAGGGCACAGAACUACACCUAAGAACUAGAAUUCAAAAACAGGGGAUACCUGUAGGCAAUGAAUAACAUCUAUGUUAGAUUGUACACAUGUGGACACAUUGGGAAAAGUUUAUCUGUUAGACUGUCCAGCAGAGAGACAAUGGAGUGCAUGCUGUGCAGUGGAGUGAGGAGUGCUCAGACCUCUACACUGGAGAAAACAAACAGCCACUCCAUAAAUGCAUGACACAACAUAGAAGAUGACAAGACUCAGGUAUACAUCUGCACCUAAAGGUCAAAGGUCAAAUCACUCUUGAGGAUGCCAGUGUUCACAUUUUGGACAGAGAAGACAGAUGGUUUGAAAGAGGAGUGAAAGAAGCAUCUAUGUCCACUGUGAACGACCCCCUUUAAAUAGGGGGCGGGGCUUAUGGCACCAACCGUCUGCCACCUACAGUGUAGUGUGAGAUCCUUCCCAGACGCCUCACCCCCACUCACAUCUUGUGUCAGGUGAUCUCAAUAGAUCAGAUGAUAGGAUGAGGUCUCAGAAUGGUUUCACUGGAACCUCUGGUGGUAAUGAUUCACACCUUGGCUCGUGAUGACAAACAUUAUUACAGUUUAAUAGGUCUGGUACUAUUUCCAUAACCAAAGUGUGCAUUUUCAAAUC